rnacentral:lncRNA from 1 species
CCCCUAAACAAAUAUAUACUAGUCCAGUGAUAAUGAACGCCAUACUAAUUUCCAAAUUGUACACAAGAAACUAAAAUUAAAAUAAUACAAGACUAACAAAGGCCAGAGGCUCCUGACUUGGGACAGGCGCAAAAAUGCGGCGGGGUUAAACAUGUUUGUGAGAUCUCAACCCUCCCCAUAUACCUCUAACCAAUGUAGAAAAGUAAACGCAUAACAAUACGCACAUUAAAAUUCAGUUCAAG